rnacentral:rRNA from 1 species
UGAGGAAUAUUGGACAAUGGGCGCAAGCCUGAUCCAGCCAUGCCGCGUGCAGGAUGACGGUCCUAUGGAUUGUAAACUGCUUUUAUACAGGAAGAAACCCCUCUACGUGUAGAGACUUGACGGUACUGUAAGAAGAAGGAUCGGCUAACUCCGUG